rnacentral:tRNA from 1 species
GGGGGAUUAGCUCAGUUGGCUAGAGCGCUUGCUUUGCACGCAAGAGGUCAUCGGUUCGACUCCGAUAUUCUCCACAA